rnacentral:rRNA from 1 species
UUUAAUGAGAGUUUGAUCCUGGCUCAGGACGAACGCUGGCGGCGUGCCUAAUACAUGCAAGUAGAACGCUGAAGAGAGGAGCUUGCUCUUCUUGGAUGAGUUGCGAACGGGUGAGUAACGCGUAGGUAACCUGCCUGGUAGCGGGGGAUAACUAUUGGAAACGAUAGCUAAUACCGCAUAACAACAGUUGUUGCAUGACAGCUGUUUAAAAGAUGCAAUUGCAUCACUACCAGAUGGACCUGCGUUGUAUUAGCUAGUUGGUGAGGUAACGGCUCACCAAGGCGACGAUACAUAGCCGACCUGAGAGGGUGAUCGGCCACACUGGGACUGAGACACGGCCCA